GUGUUUUUACUCAGUCCUACAUACCACUGGUCUGCCUUCCUCACAUUUCAGAAAUAGACGGUUCCUCACGGCUCAGGACGAACCUGAGAGCCCAUCUUAUCACUUCAGUCUCAGUGGGUUUUUGGUGCUAAUGGCCAGAACCUGGUACUUGAAGUAGCACAGCUCGCAGCUCCAGGAGCCUCUCUCACUGAUCCAGCGGAUGAGGCAGGACUGCAACUAUUCAAAAUGGGAAAAAGAGAAGAAACCCUGUUAUAAAGGUGAGAUGUGUUUUGAACUGCAUACGUUGGAAAAAGGUACAAGUAAAUAUAUACUUGUCAGAGCAAUUGAAAAGUUAAAUCAACUGAGAUUGGGAUGAACAAGGCUCAAGGAGGGAUGUUGGGGUCAUUAACAGCAAUUGCUUAUUUUAAGGGUUUCAACAUCAGGAGUACCAGUAUUGUAAAAACUACAUGAAACAUGAACUGCUAGAUUUUUACCUUCAGGUUGGUGAUAUACAGAAAAUACAUAUUAUUUGUAGAAAACAGCCACCACAGAGUCAGUUUCUGUCCCCAGACUGUCACUCUGAUGAAUACAAUAACGAGUUUGGGAUGUGGGUAAUUAACUACCGUGAAAUAAAAUGACCAUAUUUGCAUUUC